rnacentral:lncRNA from 1 species
AGCUACAAAGACGACGCCGGCUGCGCUCGCGGGACCAGAGGGAGGGAGGCUGCGGACGAGUGCGGGGAGGAGUUUGAGAUGGGAGGCGCUUGCAGGGGCUCCCCCAGUUCUGCGCUGUGAGCCGGGGCACAAAGAGCCCUCUGCACUAGCGCCGCAGGACCGCGGACCCGAGGUCCUUUCUCUGGCUGUGAUCCAUGCUUCUUCCCAGGGCAGGAUUACACUCUUUGAAUUUACUUAUUCAUCAAGACAGUGCAGAGUGGUGGAAAGAGAAGCAGCUGAGAGUUACGCAGUUGGAGGCAUCUGUCCACCCAUGUGGUUCCAGACACGUUCAUGUGGCCACCAUGACCCCGUCGGCAUCACAGGGGUAACCAAGGUCCACAGAACGAGGGGAAAGGGUCACUGUGGAUCAAGCCAGGCUCCUCUGAGCAGUCCAGGGUCUAUUUACAGAGAGCAGCAAGUUCCUGGGACAGAGGAGACAGAAGGGAAUUUCCAGGUUCUUCAGGACGUUCACAACCACACUGAGAAGCAUCUUUGCAGAUAAGUAUUUAAACUUACCAGCCCAUAGCCUACCAGCCUGCCCUCUUCUGGUCUGUGCAGGAAAGUGUAGUAUCCUAGAAUGCCAAAGUGGGAGGGGAAAUGGGUGAUGUAGCUCAUUCUCUUUUCUACCUCUAUGGAAGAAAGAAAGAGCCUGUCCCCAUUUUGUGGGGUCCCAGAAAGGGUGAUUUUCACACUUCACAUUUGGCGUUAGGGCUAGUAUUUCACAAACAUUACCGUCUGGAACUUUUGAAGGCUGAGUUAAAUGACUUCAUCUUGUGUACUUGUAGAACUGCUAUUAGAAGGAGGCUGGGGACUCCCUGAUGAUGUGAACCAGCCCUUCUCUUCUCAGUUUCAGCACUUUGUGAUCAUAUUUAUAAACCUUGGACAGGGCUCCUUGGCCUUAGAGUUAAGUGAAGAGUUAACACUGUGACUUUAGAUGCAUUUUUCUCAGUGUAAGUGUCUGAGCUCAUCUCCAGUUCUGGACUCGUGCCCCCACUCCCGGGUGCUGACAGCAAGCUCUGAAGAUAUGCUGAGAGAGCUCCCUGACUCUCCUGACUCAGGUCUGCCAGUUGAUGAAGACAGCACAGUUGUUACCAAAAACAAAACCUGGCAGAUGGUCCUAGGUCAGGAUUAGUGGUCAUUCUCUGGUCUUCUCCAGACUGGUGACACAGGGUGGUCUUAAAAGAGUCCUAGUCCAGCCUCUGGCUCCCCGAAUUUCCUCUGGUGCAUGGGGCAUCAGGAAAGGGCAGGGGAGAAGGAGGGGGAGCAGAAAAAUAACUGAGGCUGGGCAGAAGGGUCCCUUCCAUUUCCCAUCCAUUGCUUCAAACAAUGGGUGAUUACCGUGCACCUUGAGUGAAUGUCAAGGCAGGAAGGGUUCCAGGGCCACCCAGUGUGGCAGGAGCAGAGCUGGGAUCAGAAUUCUGGAUUCCUGACUCUCCGUUCAGCUGCUAUUCAGCUAUCACCAAGCUGCUGAGUUUGUCCUACUUUCUCCUGGGUCACAUUCUGCUGUUGUUGGGAAACAGGGAGUGAGUGAAGGGAACCUGGGAACCCUUCUCCCCUCACCUUUUAAGGAUGUUCUGGGGUGGAAUAAAGAGAGGUGGAGGGUGGGGUGCCUGGGCCCAGCCUCCCUGGCUCCUGGUCCUUCUUUCUUCAGCAGGGAGUUCUGGCAAGGCCUGGGCCUGGGGAGGGGGCCUGGGUGCAGUUUUCUCCUGCGGUGUGGUUGGCUCUUUUGUCUUCCAGGAUGGGCCUGUGGGGUCUGUGUGGGGAAGGAAGGAGCUGGGAGCCUGGGCUGCCUGUGUGUCGGCUGGAUGCUGCCAGGUGGCUCCAUCUGGGCCGCAUCUCCAGGACUCCUGGCCUGGACUUCUCUUUGGACCUCGGGUGACCUUGGAUUCUGGCCACAGUGACUUAGCGGUCAGACUCCGGUGGUUUUCUAGCCCGCUGGGUGACUCCCUGAAGAUCUCAUCCUCUUCACACCUGUUGGGAUGGAGCCUCCCAUGGAUAGGAACUCUUCCUGGUUGAUGCUCAGCAGAUGACUGAUCUGGCUCUGGAGGACAGCUCCAGGGGUAUGAGGGAGGCCUGGCAGCCCACUACUCCCUCCUCACCUGCUCGGGCCCUGCCUGCUGGGCCCUAUUGUCUGGGUCUGGGGGCCCUUUCCUGCCCCAUGUGAACUUGAUUCCUCCUCGCGUUUCUGCCGGUGACCAGACAGAGCCUGGCCUGGGCCAAGUCCCCACUGACCACACUUUCCCCAAGGCUGGGUCUCAAAGGACCCUACAGGAUGGGGACAGGAACAAGGAUGGGAGUCGGGGAGGGGCUGUCAGGCAGAGGGCAGAUGCAGCUCCUCGGGUGCCGCUGGCUGGAGUCCUUUGUCUCCAUUUGCUCAGUGCGUAAUUGUCAUUUUGUGGGGGACUUCCUUGGUGGGGCUUUUCCAUGCUUUUCCUCUCCCUGAUGGUUACAAAGAGGAGACAGUCAGGAUCUGGGAGGAGCUGGAGCCUUCCCCCUGUGCUGUUGAACUCUGGGAGGGGCAGCCAGAGGGGCUGAGAGUGCACCAUCCUGAAAAGAGAGGGUCUUUAAGAGAUAAGAUUUAGGCUAGGGAAAUUCACUAGAAAGAGACAGGUGGCCCUGGGUUUUUUUUCCUGCCAUCCAAAGGGAACCAGUCUUACCCAAAGGCUUAAGGGGUCACCUUAGCCCAGUCUCAGGACACUCUUCUCCAAUCAGAUCGCUGCUUCUAGUUGCACUGCUCCUGGAUUCUGUUCUUGGGGAACAGAAGGUGGCAGGACAGGCCCCACAAUCUGCAAUUCCAGCUCCCUCCAGAGGAGACAGUCCCAGCGUUUGCAAGAGAGCAGCUUGUGGCCUCCCUUAGGCAAGUUUAAAAGCCAGAUGUCCUUUUUCCCAGAAUGCGGAGUGGUGUGUACUAUUCAUCAGCUUGGGCUGCCACAGCACCAUGCCAGACUGGAUGGCUUAAACAUCAGGAAUUUAUUUUCUGCCAGUUCUGGAGGCUGGAAAGUCCAGAUCAAGGUGUUAAGACUUGGUUUCUGGUGAGGCCUCUCUCCUUGGCUUGCAGGUGGCACCUUCUCACUAUGUCCUCACAUGGCCUUUUCUCUGUGGAGAGGGACAGAGAGCAUGAGCAGGCUCUGGUGUCUCCUCCUCUUCUUAUAAAGACACUAAUAUCACCAUAUUAGGGCUUAAACCUAUGACCUCAUUUAACCUUAACCCCUUAAAGGUCCCAUCUCCAAAAACAGUCACAUAGCAGGCUACUGCUUCAACAUAUGCAUUUGGGGGAGGGGACACCAUUCAGUUCUUAACAGGGUGGUCACCGCAAACAUGGAAAGUCAGAGCCUUCUCCCCUUCAGAAUUCCCGCCCCCACCCAGGGAUGGGGAGGAGGAGCAGAGAGGUAUGGGAAGCAGACACGGAGAGUGGCAGGUACCAUGCUGGGGUGGCUCAGGAGUGCUUCGGAGGACAUAUGGAACUGGCAGGGCUCAGUGCAGGGAGGCGGAGGCCCUGGGAGAGCCGUGUCCUGAGAAGGGCCUGGGCUACAACCCUGGGCAAGUUACUUCACCUCUGAGCCUCCGAUGCUCUGUGAAAUGGAAGGAAUGUGCUUGCCUGUCAGGUGCAGGGAGAAUUCAGUGAGAUUGUGUGCCUAGCACAGUGCCUGACUCCCAGUAGGUGCUCAGCAAAUGCUCCCAUCCAUCUGGGAGUAUAGACUUAGGGUUUAUCUAUUUUUUUUUUUUUUUGGCUCUCUGGACUUUAAAACUCAGCAUCUUCUGAACCAGAGGCAUUUCUGAUUAGCCCUUCCCUACCUAUUUUCCUAGUAUCACUCUUUAAUCAGCUUGGGGAGGUGGCAGCAUUUCAUGGCCUCCGUAGUAACUCACAAUGCUUCCUGGGGUAUUUAAAUUCUACUCUCUCAUCAGCACUGAGCACCUACUUUGGGCCCUUUCCCGUGCUAGCCAUUUGGGGGAAAUAUAGGUGAAGAGUGGCUGGGGUUUGAACCUUUAGGAUUUCACAGCCAUGCUGGAUGGGAUAAAACCAGCUCACAUGGAGAAUCAGAGAAUGGGACAGUGCCACAAAACAGUCUACUGAGGCACAAGUUCUGAGUGCCUGGGAAGUGGUAGAGAGACCCCAGAGAGGGCUGCUGCAGUCUGGAACAGCUUCCUAGCAAGCUGUACCAAACAGGGCCUUGAAGGAUGAGAAAGAUCUGGCUGAGAUGAUACCCGACCCUCUAGGGAAAUUCUUAAAGUAACUUCUAGGAAAUGUCAUUGCUCCUUAAAAAAAAAAAAAAAAAAAAAAAAGCAGGUUCUAAUUCAAAUUCCGCUGCACUACUGAAGUAGUGCAGGACUUAUCAGAACCUUUAAAAUGCUAAUGGCAAUUUCAAAUACUCAGGGACAGGGCAUAGGAUGAAGUGUUCCUUGACUUUUAUGGCCGUAGAAUCUUUUUCUCAUGGAACAUCGUUUAGAACUGUGGGAGAUGCUAGGCUGGGGUUUCUAUGGGAAAAGUACAGCAGUGAUAGAAGAUGGCAUAAUUAGGGUACACUUAGGUGCUUUGUAGCAUUGGCUGAAAAGGAAGCAGACCGGGUGGGCGUGGGGGAGUCUCAACUUGGUUCCAGGAGCCAGGCCAGCUUGAUGCGUUUUUUUUUUUUCUAAUGGUGGGAGGGCAGGCCAAUAGUUGGAGAAACUAGAGGCCUGACAGUCGGUGAUGGAAGAGAUGUCUACUAAGCACGGUUGUCAGAUCUUUUGCGGAGAGAUGCGGGUGUGCGUGUGUCUGUCAGAGUGUAACAGGAUCCAGCCCUCUGGGAAGGGGCUGACCAGAACCAGGCAGGGGGUUUCUGUCUAGGACAAGUAGGGUCCAUUUUCAGGGGAGCUGAAAUAUUUGCAGGGGGUGCUCUGAGACCCACAGCCAAUAAAUAGGGAAGCAACAUGCUUUUGGGCAGGGUCCAUGUGGUUAGGGUUGAUUUUGAUGGGGCUGGGGGGCUUAGAGUUAGACCCCCUGCCCUGGUCAGGCCCCACUCCCUGGCUGGUGGGGGCGGGAGGCCUCUGAAGCUGCAGCUGGAGGGGCCGGGGCAGUGUUGCAUGGUGUGAUUAACCUACUAACCCAGGGCUCAGCCGGGACGCUGUGGCGUGUGACGAGGUGCCUGGCCUUCUGCCAACCAACUAACCCACUAACCAGGCCCGAGCAUGCCCUACUAACCACCCCCCCGCAGCCAGAUCCUACUAACUGUGCAGCUCAUGGGCCUUUCAAGGGGCUGGGAUAUGGGGGCAGCCAAGGCUCCAGAAGGCUCUGCCUAUGGGCUGGGAUCUUUGUGCAGACCCACGUUCCAGGACAGAGAAUGCAAAUAAGACUCACCAACUCUGCCACUUCCUGUUGAGUGAGUUUGAGUAAGUCACCUCACUUCUCUCAACCUCAGUUUCCUCAGUGGUAGAAUGCGAGUUCUGAUACCUUACAGGUUGCAGUGAGGAUUCCCGUCAAUAUAAGGGUCUCAGCACAUGGCAGACACCUAAAAAAAAAAAAAGUAUGAGGAUGGAGGAAGGCCCCUCAAACCUGGUUGAACACGUCUGCUGCCUAGGCCCUGGCCUCUCUGGGUGUUCUGCACACAGAUCCUUCUGCCUGGGGCAAGACACUUGGCUUUGAAUCCAUGUCACUUCCCCACAUUCUUCCUCCGUCUCAGCUUUCUUUUCUGUAGGCAGCUCUUUUGUUCGAUUACUAACCCGUCUAACCCCUGGGGUGCCUCAACUGCACCCCGAUCAUCCCUUAACAAACUAACGGACCUGCGUGCGUUCUUCCUUUUCUCUUAGCGACUCCUGUGUGUGUCUGCUGAGGUGCCCUGUCCGCUGGUGCUGUGCUCUGACUUACUAACCCAGCCCCUACUAACCCUGUUUUCUCUUCUUACUAACCCCAGCCCUGCCGAGCUCUGGGCUCCCCCCGGGGGCUGGUCCCCCUCCUUUUGGCAAGCAGAUGACCUGGGGCUACUGGCCCUGUAGACAGAUGUCCCACUUUGCUGCCCCAUAUUGGCUGUAAGAUCAGAGUCCACUGGGCCAGGUCUAAGGCAGGGGAUGGCCCUAUUAACAAGACUCAGAGGAGGAAGAGGUGGUCCUGUGGAUGUGGGAGGCUGGACUCUGAGUAUGACAUCUCUCCUAUGUGCAGAAGUCUGGUUGCCACUGGGAGUAGGUGGGACCAGGGAAAUCUCUGGGACGUGAGUGUGGAGGCCUGUUGGUCUAGACUCUAGACUGUGGAGCUCUGAGCUUUUGUGUCCUCUGGAAGGAAGCUGGGGAAGAAUCCUCUCCAUUGUUAAGUGACGGGGAUAGAAGCUGUCCUGCACAGGAAGUCACGAGGGGGGCGUAUCCCACGAGGAAGGCAGGAGGGGGCGUGCCCCUCACCGGAAAUUAGCAGAGGGGCGUGUCCCACACCGGAAGUCAGAAAGCGGAGCCUUUCUUACACCGGAAGUCAAUGAAGCGGGUCUUUCCUACGCUAAAAACCACUGAGUGGAGUAUUUAGUACACAGGAAGUCGGC